UACGGAGGGUGCAAGCAUUAAUCGGAUUUAUUGGGCGUAAAGAGCGCGUAGGCGGGAAGGUAAGUCAGACGUGAAAGCCCGGGGCUCAACCCCGGAACUGCGUUUGAAACUCCCUUUCUUGAGGGUAGGCGGAGAAAACGGAAUUCCACAAGUAGCGGUGAAAUGCGUAGAUAUGUGGAAGAACACCGGUGGCGAAGGCGGUUUUCUAGCUUACUCCUGACGCUGAGGCGCGAAAGCUAGGGGAGCAAACAGG
rnacentral:rRNA from 1 species